GGCGCCAUUUUCAAACGUCAAGCCACCCCCAUUUUUUCAGCGCAACAAAUCCAUAUAAAAGCAAUAAGGCUAAGGCGCAACAUAAAUAAUUAAUAAACCGUCGGUUCUUAUUUUAAUAUAAAUAUGAGUCAGGAAUCGGAAAUUCAUCGGUCGGCCGACAAAAUCAACAUAAGGAAGCGACAAUGACCGCUUCAUCGGGCUCAGGUAGUACCUGAAGAUUUCCGAAUCAGUAGGUGAGCGACACCGUAAUGGUUUAGGUACCAUUUGAGCGCAUUUUUUCAUUAUUCUAAUGCGGCUAUUUUGUUGUAUGUAGAAAGUGAAUGUGUGAAAAUAUAUAGACUUAUGUAAG